CUUGAACGCUGGCGGCAGGCUUAACACGUGCAAGUCGAGCGGAGAUGAGGUGCUUGCACCUUAUCUUAGCGGCGGACGGGUGAGUAAUGCUUAGGAAUCUGCCUAUUAGUGGGGGACAACAUUCCGAAAGGAAUGCUAAUACCGCAUACGUCCUACGGGAGAAAGCAGGGGAUCUUCGGACCUUGCGCUAAUAGAUGAGCCUAAGUCGGAUUAGCUAGUUGGUGGGGUAAAGGCCUACCAAGGCGACGAUCUGUAGCGGGUCUGAGAGGAUGAUCCGCCACACUGGGACUGAGACACGGCCCAGACUCCUACGGGAGGCAGCAGUGGGGAAUAUUGGACAAUGGGGGGAACCCUGAUCCAGCCAUGCCGCGUGUGUGAAGAAGGCCUUAUGGUUGUAAAGCACUUUAAGCGAGGAGGAGGCUACUGAGACUAAUACUCUUGGAUAGUGGACGUUACUCGCAGAAUAAGCACCGGCUAACUCUGUGCCAGCCGCCGCCGUAAAAC
rnacentral:rRNA from 1 species